rnacentral:rRNA from 1 species
UGCAGUCGAACGGAAGGCCCUUCGGGGUGCUCGAGUGGCGAACGGGUGAGUAACACGUGAGUAACCUGUCCUUGUCUUUGGGAUAACCUUCGGAAACGGGGGCUAAUACCGAAUAUUCCCGCUGGAACGCAUGUUUUGGUGGGGAAAGCUUUUGCGGAUUGGGGUGGGCUCGCGGCCUAUCAGCUUGUUGGUGGGGUGAUGGCCUACCAAGGCUUUGACGGGUAGCCGGCCUGAGAGGGCGACCGGCCACACUGGGACUGAGACACGGCCCAGACUCCUACGGGAGGCAGCAGUGGGGAAUAUUGCACAAUGGACGCAAGUCUGAUGCAGCGACGCCGUGUGAGGGAUGACGGCCUUCGGGUUGUAAACCUCUUUCGGUCGGGACGAAGCCUUUACCGGUGACGGUACCGACAGAAGAAGCGCCGGCCAACUACGUGCCAGCAGCCGCGGUAAGACGUAGGGCGCGAGCGUUGUCCGGAUUUAUUGGGCGUAAAGAGCUCGUAGGCGGCUCAUUGCGUCAACCGUGAAAACCAGCAGCUCAACUGUUGGCUUGCGGUUGAUACGGGUGGGCUGGAGUUCGGUAGGGGAGACUGGAAUUCCUGGUGUAGCGGUGAAAUGCGCAGAUAUCAGGAGGAACACCGGUGGCGAAGGCGGGUCUCUGGGCCGAUACUGACGCUG